UUGUCCAUCAUUCAGUUGGGCACUCUAGCGAGACUGCCGGUAAUAAACCGGAGGAAGGUGGGGAUGACGUCAAAUCAUCAUGCCCCUUAUGACCUGGGCUACACACGUGCUACAAUGGUUGGUACAACGAGUUGCGAGUCGGUGACGGCGAGCUAAUCUCUUAAAGCCAAUCUCAGUUCGGAUUGUAGGCUGCAACUCGCCUACAUGAAGUCGGAAUCGCUAGUAAUCGCGGAUCAGCACGCCGCGGUGAAUACGUUCCCGGGCCUU
rnacentral:rRNA from 1 species